rnacentral:lncRNA from 1 species
CCAAGGUCGUCCAAGGAGCAAGUGUGCCGCAUGCAUUGGGACUACAUCACACCAUACUUCAUCCUCAUAAUUGCCGAGUUUAAAAGUGACCAAGGACUGUUUCGUAACUUUAACUUCGGAACAUUCAUUAAGCCACUGAAGGUGAUAUGGCUUAGGGUGUUUGGUGCAAGGCAACUUUAAAGAAUCAAUCAAAUAGCUACUCCCCACAUUUGAGCAACUACCACUAUCAAUAAUGAGUGAACAUAAGUUACCUUUAAUAAAACACCGAGAAUGGAAAAUAUUGGCCCUUUGGCUAUCAUCAUCUUUCAUCUGAAUGUUAAGGGUUCGACGAACUACAAGGCAUUGAAAAUUAGCAAAGUCCCCUUCCUUUGGUGGUUCGACCAACUCGUCGCCAUUA